rnacentral:rRNA from 1 species
CAAUAGCGUAUAUUUAAGUUGUUGCAGUUAAAAAGCUCGUAGUUGGAUUUUGGGUCGGGGGCACCGGUCCGCCGUUCCGGUGUGCACUGGUGGCCCCUUCCUUUCUGCCGGGGACGUGCGUCGCACUUAAUUGGGUGGCGUUCGGAGUCGGCGUUGUUACUUUGAAAAAAUUAGAGUGUUCAAAGCAAGCCAUCGCUCUGAAUACAUUAGCAUGGAAUAACAUGAUAGGACUCCGGUCUUAUUUUGUUGGUUUCCGAGACUGGAGUAAUGAUUAAGAGGGACAGUCGGGGGCAUCCGUAUUUCAUUGUCAGAGGUGAAAUUCUUGGAUUUAUGAAGGACGAACUUCUGCGAAAGCAUUUGCCAAGGAUGUUUUCAUUAA